UGGCGGAAUGCUUUACACAUGCAAGUCGAACGGCAGCACGGACUUCGGUCUGGUGGCGAGUGGCGAACGGGUGAGUAACAUAUCGGAACGUAUCCAAUAAUGGGGGAUAACUAAUCGAAAGGUUGGCUAAUACCGCAUACGCCCUACGGGGGAAAGCAGGGGAUCUUCGGACCUUGCGUUAAUGGAGCGGCUGAUAUCUGAUUAGCUAGUUGGUGAGGUAAAGGCUCACCAAGGCGACGAUCAGUAGCUGGUCUGAGAGGACGACCAGCCACACUGGAACUGAGACACGGUCCAGACUCCUACGGGAGGCAGCAGUGGGGAAUUUUGGACAAUGGGCGCAAGCCUGAUCCAGCCAUUCCGCGUGAGUGAAGAAGGCCUUCGGGUUGUAAAGCUCUUUCGCAAGGGAAGAAAACUUACCUUUUAAUAAAGGGUGAGGUUGACGGUACCUUGAUAAGAAGCACCGGCUAACUACGUGCCAGCAGCCGCGGUAAUACGUAGGGUGCGAGCGUUAAUCGGAAUUACUGGGCGUAAAGCGUGCGCAGGCGGUUUUGUAAGUCAGAUGUGAAAUCCCCGAGCUCAACUUGGGAACUGCGUUUGAAACUACAAGACUAGAAUAUGUCAGAGGGGGGUAGAAUUCCACGUGUAGCAGUGAAAUGCGUAGAGAUGUGGAGGAAUACCAAUGGCGAAGGCAGCCCCCUGGGAUAAUAUUGACGCUCAUGCACGAAAGCGUGGGGAGCAAACAGGAUUAGAUACCCUGGUAGUCCACGCCCUAAACGAUGUCUACUAGUUGUUGGUGGAGUAAAAUCCAUGAGUAACGCAGCUAACGCGUGAAGUAGACCGCCUGGGGAGUACGGUCGCAAGAUUA
rnacentral:rRNA from 1 species